AGAGUUUGAUCCUGGCUCAGGAUGAACGCUGACAGAAUGCUUAACACAUGCAAGUCGAUGGGGAAGUGGUGCUUGCACCAUGGUAACCAUGGCGGACGGGUGAGUAACGCGUAAGGAACUUGCCUGCGGGACCGGGAUAACAGCAGGAAACUGCUGACAAGACCGGAUAAGGUCAUGAAGCCGCAUAGCUUAGUGAUGAAAGGAGACGCCUGCGGAGAGCCUUGCGUCCUAUUAGCUAGUUGGAGGGGUAACGGCCCACCAAGGCGAUGAUAGGUAGCCGGCCUGAGAGGGUGGACGGCCACAAGGGGACUGAGAUACGGCCCUUACUCCUACGGGAGGCAGCAGUGGGGAAUAUUGGACAAUGGGGGCAACCCUGAUCCAGCAAUUCUGUGUGCACGAAGACGGUUUUCGGAUUGUAAAGUGCUUUCAGCAGGGAAGAAGGAAGUGACGGUACCUGCAGAAGAAGCGACGGCUAAAUACGUGCCAGCAGCCGCGGUAAUACGUAUGUCGCGAGCGUUAUCCGGAAUUAUUGGGCAUAAAGGGCAUCUAGGCGGCCUUUCAAGUCAGGGGUGAAAACCUGCGGCUCAACCGCAGGCCUGCCUUUGAAACUGAUAGGCUGGAGUACCGGAGAGGUGGACGGAACUGCACGAGUAGAGGUGAAAUUCGUAGAUAUGUGCAGGAAUGCCGAUGAUGAAGAUAGUUCACUGGACGGUAACUGACGCUGAAGUGCGAAAGCCGGGGGAGCAAACAGGAUUAGAUACCCUGGUAGUCCCGGCCGUAAACGAUGAUUACUGGGUGUGGGCAGGAAGACUGUCUGUGCCGAAGCGAAUGCGAUAAGUAAUCCGCCUGGGGAGUACGGCCGCAAGGCUGAAACUCAAAGGAAUUGACGGGGACCCGCACAAGCGGUGGAGCAUGU
rnacentral:rRNA from 1 species